rnacentral:rRNA from 1 species
UACGUAGGGUGCGAGCGUUAAUCGGAAUUACUGGGCGUAAAGCGUGCGCAGGCGGUUUUGUAAGCCAGAUGUGAAAUCCCCGGGCUCAACUUGGGAAUGGCGCUUGAAACUACGGUGCUGGAGUGUGGCAGAGGGAGGUGGAAUUCCACGUGUAGCGGUGAAAUGCGUAGAGAUGUGGAGGAACACCGAUGGCGAAGGCAGCCUCCUGGGCCAACACUGACGCUCAUGCACGAGAGCGUGGGGAGCAAACAGG